rnacentral:rRNA from 1 species
AGAGUUUGAUCAUGGCUCAGACGAACGCUGGCGGCAUGCCUAACACCUGCAAGUCAACGGGAUCCUGGCUUCGGUCAGGUGAGAGUGGCGGACGGGUGAGUAACGCGUGGGAACCUGCCCAGUGUGGGGGAUAACUGCGGGAAACUGCAGCUAAUACCGCAUGAGCCCGAGAGGGGAAAGAUUUAUCGCCAUUGGAGGGGCCCGCGUUCGAUUAGGUAGUUGGUGAGGUAACGGCUCACCAAGCCGACGAUCGAUAGCUGAUCUGAGAGGAUGAUCAGCCACACUGGGACUGAGAUACGGCCCAGACUCCUACGGGAGGCAGCAGUGGGGAAUAUUGGACAAUGGGGGCAACCCUGAUCCAGCAAUGCCGCGUGAGUGAUGAAGGCCUUCGGGUUGUAAAGCUCUUUUGGCGGGGACGAUGAUGACGGUACCCGCAGAAUAAGCCCCGGCUAACUUCGUG